GACUAAAAAAUACUGCAAAAAAACCUAUGUAAUCAAAGUCAUCAAAGAAGUCAUUUCACUAUUGUGCAAUUGUAAUUCAAAGCUCAACUAUGACUUCCUAUGUACUACAAUGCAUACAUAAAUUAGAUGAGCUGGGCAUGCAUCACCCUUUAGUUUGGCAGUUACUACCCGCCAAAUGACUCGUUUCGAAGUGUAACGUUGUAAACCAAACUCCCGUGCCGAAGGUUCCCAUAAGCGACAACCAAAAACAAAAAAUCGACAACAACAAAAAUAGCCAAUCGCAAGCGAACGUUGUUUGCUUACUAAAUAGUUAGUGCCGGAGCGGGCUGACUAAGCGAACGACCCGGCGAGGGACUGUCGCGCCAUAUUAACCAUACUGUGUCAGCCCAGUCCCGUUCACAGAAGCUUGCACAUACACACACAGAUGCACAUGCGACGUUUUUUGCAUAUGCCUCAAUGCUAGCACCCAAACCGCUAGACGCUCCAUUUGCUCGUAAUACCCUGUGAUAUAAAAUAAAGGCAUUGCUUUAGUGCAAUAAUAUAUGGGCCAUUAUUUAAAAUAUAAUUAACUCUGGAAAUUUACGCUUAAUACUUUUUUAACGACUUGUUUAUUAAAAUGUUUAAAAUUGUAUUAUAUUUGUGCGAUAUUAGUUUUAAAAAUUAAUGUUAUUUAUAUAUGUAUCAUUAUUAUUAUUUAUAUGUCUUUAAGCCCCUCCGGCUAAC